rnacentral:rRNA from 1 species
GACGAACGCUGGCGGCGUGCCUAACACAUGCAAGUCGAACGGAGAUAUUAAGGAAGCUUGCGAAUUAAUAUCUUAGUGGCGGACGGGUGAGUAACGCGUGGGUAAUCUGCCCAUAAGGAGGGGGACAACAGUUGGAAACGACUGCUAAUACCGCAUAUGCUGAUUUAUCAGUAAAGGAGGCCUCUAGAAAUGCUUCCGCUUAUGGAUGAGCCCGCGUCUGAUUAGCUAGUUGGUGGGGUAAAGGCCUACCAAGGCGACGAUCAGUAGCCGGCCUGAGAGGGUGAACGGCCACACUGGGACUGAGACACGGCCCAGACUCCUACGGGAGGCAG